UAUGAUUUUAUAGUUAAUGCUUAAUAUGUCCUCUUUUCUUCCAUACAGAUGGAAAAUGCUGUGACUAGCCAUGUCACAGGUGGUGUCAUUGGUGCUGUUGUGGUCCUUCUGCUCGUAUUGAUCUUGGUUCCUUUGAUACUGUUUAUUUAGAAAAGGAUAAUAUCACUCCUGGCGCAGAACCUGCAAUUCCCCAAAAUCGACCACAGUUCUGCAACGUUCACCUGUGGGCCACCGCUCUUCAAGGCCAACCUCUGCUGCUGUUAGGCCAUGACCAAUGGGGUAAAGACCCAUGAGAGACGGUCCCAGAGCAUCUCAACCUGAGGAGCAGUGAAGUCUCCACAGAGAGCUUCAGGGUCACCUGGGAACACUCAGGCCAAGACGUGCUCCUUUACAGACUGUUCUGGAUCCCAACCAGAGGGGGAGACACUAAAGAAGUCUGUCUGUCUGUCUGUCUGUCAGGUUUUCUGUCUGUAUGUUGAUCUUGGUCUGUUAGUUAACCUCUUCCAAGCCAGUCUUCAAUGCGUUUUCCCUGUUGCUUACUGAAUCUCUCUUCCUCUUUUAUUUUCUCCCUCCCUCUCUCUCUGCAUAGGUGAAGAUGCGGAGGAAUGGUAACAUGAACACCUACAUUGAAUACAAGGAGGCAAGUUUGAAAGUGACACCAUGACCAUCAAAGUGUCAACAGGUAAACUACAGGAUAUAUAGCUAAUGUAACCGCUCUCAAAAGACUUUGUAAUUGCACUUUUGCACAUUGAGCAUAACAGGGUCAAUGUAGUUGAUUAUAGUUGAGUAUGUAUAGUAUAGUGAUACUAUUGGGUAACGUUUAGGUGGAAAAAGACUUGGGUUUACCAAAAAAUUAUACAAAGAAAACAGCAGAGUUUACAAAAAUAUUACAUGAGGAACAAUUUAGAAAUAACUUGAAAUGGGAAUUUUUAUGUUUGUGCUUUUCUGAUAACUAAUUUCUGUGUUUGUGCAAGUGACUGAUUUAACGAAUCUUCACUUAUCAGUAUUUGCAAUUUGGCAGUACACCCAGACCUUGUUUUGAGAAAGAACAAAAUAUAUCUCUGUUUCAAGGUCUCAGUUUAGAGAGAAGAAGCCUCGUGAGGUGUUGGUCUGCCACAUGUUAUGAACCAGUAUUGGUCGGUGACAUGAAUGAAA
rnacentral:lncRNA from 1 species